rnacentral:tRNA from 1 species
GGCUCUGUAGCUCAGUCGGUAGAGCAACGGACUGAAAAUCCGUGUGUCGGCGGUUCAAUUCCGCCCGGAGCCA